rnacentral:rRNA from 1 species
UACAGUGAUACUGCGUCUGAUUGCUGUUGAAGUGGUUGAAUUCGUGUGUAGCGGUGAAAUGCUAGAUAUUCACGAAGAACUCCGAUUGCGAAGGCAGCACACUAAGCCGCUACUGACGUUGAGCUCGAAAGUGUGGGUAUCAAACAGGAUUAGAUACCUUGGUAGUCACACGGUAAACGAUGAAUACUCGCUGUUGGCGAUACAAUGUCAGCGGCCAAGCGAAAGCAUUAAGUAUUCCACCUGGGGAGUACGCCGGCAACGGUGAAACUCAAAGGAAUUGACGGGGGCCCGCACAAGCGGAGGAACAUGUGGUUUAAUUCGAUGAUACGCGAGGAACCUUACCCGGGCUUAAAUUGCACUGGACAGCUCAAGAGAUUGAGUCUUCUUCGGACCAGUGUGAAGGUGCUGCAUGGUUGUCGUCAGCUCGUGCCGUGAGGUGUCGGCUUAAGUGCCAUAACGAGCGCAACCCUUGCCGUUAGUUACUAACAGGUCAUGCUGAGAACUCUAGCGGGACUGCCAUCGUAAGAUGUGAGGAAGGUGGGGAUGACGUCAAAUCAUCAUGCCCCUUAUGACCUGGGCUACAGGCGUGCUAUAAUGGCCAAUAUAAAGAGGGGCAAAGCCGUGAGGUGGAGCAAAACUCCAAAGUUGGUCUCAGUUCGGAUUGAAGUCUGCAACUCGACUUCAUGAAGUUAGAAUCGCUAGUAAUCCUGAAUCAGAAUGUCAGGGUGAAUACGUUCCCGGGUGUUGUACACACCGCCCGUCACGCCACGAAAGUCUGUAAUACCCGAAUGUGGUAGCCUAACCUUUUAGGAGGGGGCCAUUUAAGGUAGGACAGGUGAUUGGGGUGAAGUAGUAACAAGGUA